CUUUCGUGAAUCAAGACGCCUAGCCGGAGCAGAGUUGUAACCAGUCUACCCCGUGGUUCCUUAUUGCUAGAAGAACCAUGACUAAUUAGUAAAUUUUAACCCUCUCAAAGGUGGAAGAAAUUAUGUCUUCGAACAGGAUGGGUGGGGGUUGGAGGAUAAAUACCCACCUGCUGCAAACCGUGGAAGCCCAUGUCAAUCAGGACACCUUUAGGGUGGAUUUCAUAUCUCAGUGAGCGCGAGCCAGCGUGCCUUUGGCUCGUUUCCUCCGUUGGAUUCCAUGGAAAAUCAGCAAAGGGGAAAUGCAGACGGCACCGUGUCCUUCCCCCAUCACACAAUAGCACGCAAAGGUCAUUCCUAAUGAAGUCGGAGGUGUGACCCCCUGCUUUUCAGACACUGUGUGAGAGCCCUGACUCCACCUCCCCCCUGCCCACAAGCCAUUGCUUUGCGCCACAAAGACUUUGCUCCAAGGAUAGGUUUCCCACACUGACGUCGUCGGCCACACACUCUCUGUCGGCCAUGACUCGUAACUAGAGACGAUGAGUGACAGGUCGGUCCCCCGCACAGCACAGGGGGCCUGAGAUCCCCACACUAUUUUCAGAAGCAUUUUGAGGACUGGCCUUUCUCCCAUCACAGCUGUUCUGGGCGUUAUGCUCAAAGACUAGCGGCCAAAGUAUGCCAAUGCAGGUGAAGCAAUCUGAGUAAUGAAAGAAGAAAAUUAGAUAAAUGAACUGUCUGGAAAUUGUGUCAUCCACUGCAUGCACAGUCAGCUGCCUAAUGCUAUAUUUUGGUUUGAAAGAUUUGCUAGCAAUUUUCAGUUGUUGACAGAUUUGUGGAGAGACGGCAUCUAUCCAGAUGAAUAAAUAAAACAUGUUUGCUGCUGAUGUUAUUAACAGUCACCAGCAGUUUUGAGCUGAUAGUCCUGCACAUCCUAAAAAAACAACUAAUUGCAUAAUUGGCAUUAUUCUGUAAUAUGAGUGAACUAAAUAUGGCAAGGAAUUAGAGCUGAUGUGUUUGUUUUUUCAGUCAACAAACUUUGCUUGAAGCGAACUAAAUUAGAAAAGUAGAAGUUUGUUUUCUGUUUUCCUUGGGAAAGCAACAAUGAAUUCAGUAUGUUGGUUUAACAGUGACAAAAUGUUGAUAAGACUCACAAUCCUACGCAGCUGGUUGCCUUUACAGUUCAGUUAACCAUCUCAGCUUGAAGUUAGCUGAACUGGAUCAAGCUUGAGGAGAAUUACAAAUAUGUUGGCUCAAAACCACACCUAUCUCCCAUGUCUUCUAGCAUGCUUUAUUGCAGGUUAACUUGCCAAACUUUCUUUUAUAACCUGUAUUUUUGCAUGGAGUGUAGAUUAAUUGGUUAAUUUAAAACUAUUCUAGACAAACAUAUAUAGCAUACAUUUUCCAAAAUCAAUCUCAUCUGCUCGCUUUACAAAUGCAACAGUAUGGCGUGCUGUGUCGGCAUCGAAUGUGAAGACAAAUUGUUUGUCAUCAGAGGACCUUGAAUAAGCAUGUCAGCUGCAACUUGCUGGUGUGUUUUUAACUGUUUCCAUUCAACAGUCACUAAAGUAAAGGCUUUUUAGGUUUUACACAAGGGACGAGUACCUUAUUUUUUACCUUUGUUGUUUUUAGACAGCUGCAAAUUUACUUGGGUCCUUUCUGGUUAAUAGUUGGAUGUUUUCCACCCACUAUAGAGAUUGCUGUUCCAGUUCAUAUUCUCUACCUUAGCUGUCAUUCACAAUGCAGGUUUCAGGUGAGGUUCAAAUGAUCCAGCCUUUUCCUGACUCUGUGUGGACUUAUCAGUUUAACAAACAUUGUGUUACUUGCAGGCUUAAUGUGGCCUGUAAACCAGGAGUUGUAGACCACUGUUAGGCUGAAAUUAUAGGUACUCAAGAUAAUCCUUAUAUAUUGUUAAAAUAUUGUCUUGAAAAGUUUACUUUUGCACUACUGUAAACCUAUAGUAGAUGACAUUCUAAAGUAGAAUUAUAUUUUAACCAGAAAUUCUAAGCUGUGUGAACAUAUAAUUCAACAUGAGAAUGUAUUUGUCAAAAUUGUGAAACUCAGAGCUGAUUGCAUGUAAUUGUGCAUUUCAAAAACGUUUAUUUUACAGAUUUGUACUCCGAUGAACAUUAUGUAUUGUGUUAGAUAUGAAUCAUAUAAUGACCAUGUAAGUUUUCCAAAAACGUUCAAACGGUAUAAAGCGUUUUUUCUAAUUUCUCUAUAUUGUGAUCAAGGACGAGAUAUAACUGUUCACAAACAUUCCAAAUAAAUGAAUUAUCCGCAGCAGUUUUGGGUGUAUUCUGACAAUGAAACAAUCUGAGACAGGCACAGGCUGGCUCGUUAACAUGAAUUCAUUUGGAUUUAAGGAACACUUGACGUGAGUACAUGUACGUUAUGUGGUAAUGUUAAAAUGUUGCAGCAUGUCUCAAAUUAUAUCCAGUAGCCUACAUUUGAUCUAUAUUUUGGUAUGGUCGAAGUUAUGAGGAAA
ensembl:lncRNA